GGUGCGUAACACGUUGGUGACCUGCCCCGAGGUGGGGGAUAACCGUGGGAAACCACGGCUAAUACCCCGGAUGCCAAAGUAUUUAGAAAGCUUUGGCUAAAGCUCCGGCGCCUCGGGAGGGGCCUGCGGGCUAUCAGCUUGUUGGUGGGGUAAUGGCCUACCAAGGCAAAGACGGCUAGGGGGCGUGAGAGCGCGACCCCCCACAAUGGAACUGAGACACGGUCCAUGCUCCUACGGGAGGCAGCAGUGAGGAAUAUUGCGCAAUGGGGGCAACCCUGACGCAGCAACGCCGCGUGGAUGAUGAAGGCCUUCGGGUUGUAAAAUCCUUUUCCGGGGGAAGAAUCAUGACGGUACCUCGGGAAUAAGUCCCGGCUAACUACGUGCCAGCAGCCGCGGUAAAACGUAGGGGGCGAGCGUUAUCCGGAUUUACUGGGCGUAAAGCGCACGUAGGCGGCGCUGUAAGUUGGGCGUGAGAGCUCCCGGCUCAACUGGGAGAGGUCGUUCAAAACUGCAGUGCUUGAGGUUGGAAGAGGAGAGUGGAAUUCCCGGUGUAGUGGUGGAAUGCGUAGAUAUCGGGAGGAACACCAGUGGCGAAGGCGGCUCUCUGGUCCAACCCUGACGCUGAGGUGCGAAAGCGUGGGGAGCGAACGGGAUUAGAUACCCCGGUAGUCCACGCUGUAAACGAUGGAUACUAGGUGUGGGAGGUUACUUACCCCUUCCGUGCCGUAGCUAACGUGAUAAGUAUCCCGCCUGGGGACUACGGCCGCAAGGUUAAAACUCAAAGGAAUUGACGGGGGCCCGCACAAGCAGCGGAGCGUGUGGUUUAAUUCGAUGAUACGCGAAGAACCUUACCUGGGCUUGACAUGUUGGUAGUAGUGAAGCGAAAGCGGAUCGACCCUUCGGGGAGCCAUCACAGGUGCUGCAUGGCUGUCGUCAGCUCGUGUCG
rnacentral:rRNA from 1 species